CAGUAGCCGCGGGAAUACGUAGGUCGCAAGCGUUAUCCGGAAUUAUUGGGCGUAAAGAGCUCGUAGGCGGUUUGUCGCGUCUGCCGUGAAAGUCCGGGGCUCAACCCCGGAUCUGCGGUGGGUACGGGCAGACUAGAGUGAUGUAGGGGAGACUGGAAUUCCUGGUGUAGCGGUGAAAUGCGCAGAUAUCAGGAGGAACACCGAUGGCGAAGGCAGGUCUCUGGGCAUUAACUGACGCUGAGGAGCGAAAGCAUGGGGAGCGAACAGGAUUAGAGACCCGUGUAGUCCCUGUCUCUUAUAA
rnacentral:rRNA from 1 species